rnacentral:rRNA from 1 species
GACGAAGGGGGCUAGCGUUGUUCGGAAUUACUGGGCGUAAAGGGCGCGUAGGCGGCUCUAUAAGUCAGGCGUGAAAGCCCUGGGCUCAACCUGGGAGUGGCGCUUGAUACUGUGGGGCUAGAGAGUGGGAGAGGUUGGUGGAAUUCCCAGUGUAGAGGUGAAAUUCGUAGAUAUUGGGAAGAACACCGGUGGCGAAGGCGGCCAACUGGACCAUUUCUGACGCUGAGGCGCGAAAGCGUGGGGAGCAAACAGG